UACAGAGGUCUCAAGCGUUGUUCGGAUUCAUUGGGCGUAAAGGGCGCGUAGGCGGUUCGGCAAGUCUCUAGUGAAAUCUCUGGGCUCAACUCAGAGUCUGCUGGGGAAACUGCCGGGCUUGAGUGUGGGAGAGGAGAGUGGAAUUCCCGGUGUAGCGGUGAAAUGCGUAGAUAUCGGGAAGAACACCCGUGGCUAAGGCGGCUCUCUAGUACGGUACUGACGCUGAGACGCGAAAGCGUGGGGAGCGAACAGG
rnacentral:rRNA from 1 species